UACGUAGGGUGCAAGCGUUAAUCGGAAUUACUGGGCGUAAAGCGUGCGCAGGCGGUUACGCAAGACAGAGGUGAAAUCCCCGGGCUCAACCUGGGAACUGCCUUUGUGACUGCAUAGCUAGAGUACGGUAGAGGGGGAUGGAAUUCCGCGUGUAGCAGUGAAAUGCGUAGAUAUGCGGAGGAACACCGAUGGCGAAGGCAAUCCCCUGGACCUGUACUGACGCUCAUGCACGAAGGCGUGGGGAGCAAACAGG
rnacentral:rRNA from 1 species